UAUAUCAAUAAGCGGAGGAAAAGAAACCAACAGGGNUUGCCCCAGUAGCGGCGAGUGAAGCGGCAAGAGCUCAGAUUUGAAAUCGUGUUUCGGCACGAGUUGUAGAGUGUAGGCGGGAGUCUCUGUGGAGCGCGGUGUCCAAGUCCCUUGGAACAGGGUGCCUGAGAGGGUGAGAGCCCCGUAGGGUGCUGCGCGAAGCUUUUGAGGCCCUGCUGACGAGUCGAGUUGUUUGGGAAUGCAGCUCCAAGCGGGUGGUAAAUUCCAUCUAAGGCUAAAUAUUGGCGAGAGACCGAUAGCGAACAAGUACUGUGAAGGAAAGAUGAAAAGCACUUUGAAAAGAGAGUGAAACAGCACGUGAAAUUGUUGAAAGGGAAGGGUAUUGGGCUCGACAUGGGGGGUGCGCACCGCUGUCUCUUGUAGGCGGCGCUCUGGGCGCCCUCUGGGCCAGCAUCGGUUCCUGCUGCGGGAGAAGGGGCUCCGGAAAGUGGCUCUUCGGAGUGUUAUAGCCGGGGCCAGAUGCCGCGUGUGGGGACCGAGGACUGCGGCUUCUGUCUCGGAUGCUGGCAUAACGGCGCAAUACCGCCCGUCUU
rnacentral:rRNA from 1 species